CUGCACACGUGAUAGUAUUGCGAUUUGAGUUAUUGAUAUAAAAUUACGAACGUUAUUCAAUGGUGCAUAGUAGUUCGAUCAAAUAAGUACGAACUCUCGAGAGAAGAAAUAAUAAACGGUAAGCGUUUGAAAACUGUAAUUUCUGCUUACUUUUGUGCAUAAACGUAACUAAACGUGAUCUUCCCCAAAACGAAAUCGCGUACAUAUACUUAUUAUAUUUAGCAUGCAAGUCAUUUGCCUUUUUUUGUCGAUAAUUCUUCCAUUUUAUUUUGUACUAGUAAAUAACUACUGUACCAAAUAGGGUACUGUACUUCUAGAGGCACUAAAGUGCACUAAAGUGUCAUGACAGCAAUGAUUGUUUGCUAGCCACCAUAACUAACGGUUCGAUCAAUUCGUCAGAGAGUUAGGAUUGAUUAGGGUAAAAAGUAGUAAAAUUUGAUCUUCAAACGAAUGUGUUUGACAAGUGCUCGCAUUUUAUAUCUACUGUAUCUACUUUCAAAACAAUGAAAGAGUAAUUUUUCUAUCUUUAGAAUCUUCUGGUAUAAAGAGAGCCCCAUUUAAAGCAAACACGCAAUAUACCAGGUAUGUUUUCUAAAUAGUACUUAAUAGCAUUCCAAACCCUUGUCCAUAAUGUGUACAUUAGUAAUUUCUAACAAAACCAUGGUUAAUAUAGAAUAUAUUUCUUAUUGCAAUUAAACUUUAUUUCUACAGUUCUGUGCACUGUGCUAAAGUGCCAUACUCUAAAAACACUCUGGUUAAAAUUUCUUGGUUAACCUAGACAUAACACUAUUUGGGUUAACCUGGUUAUUUUAUCUCACUUCCUGGCAUAGUCUGGUUAAUUUAACCAAGAAUCUGGUGAUACAGGUAUUUGGCCAGAAGGUGCUUGUUACAAUAACCAGUCUGAGACUAUGUUAGGUGAGGUACAUGUAAAUAACUAGGGUUCACUGGUUAUUUAUCCACCUAAAAUAGUCUGGUUAAUUUAACCAGGAAGUCCUGGAAAAAAAGGUUAAAACAACCAGAAUAUUAAACCAGGGGUAUUACCGUAAGUUAACACAAAUAGAGUUAUUUCUAGGUUAAGACAGGAAAUUUUAACCAGAGUGUUUUAGAAUGCCAUUAUUAAUAUUUCAAAUCUGAUGAAAAAUUUUUGACAAACAAACUAAGUUAAACGGCAGAGACACAAAUAUAGUCCAAGAGUGUAUCCUUCCAUUCUUUUUCUUCUUGUCACUUUCUAAUGCAAAUCAUUCUAAAGGUCGACAUUCU